AUCCCAUUCUGUGUAUAGCUGAACACCAGAGUCAAGGAGCUUUGGUAAAUGAUUGUUCACUAACCUUGAUCUGCCUGUAAAUAAAUGGUCCUCCUGCCUCUUAGAGUUCCAAGUUGACUCUUGUCAAUAUCACAGCUCUAGGCCUUAGCAUAGGCUGGGUAACCACUGCCCCAGGACAGGAAGGUACUGACUUCUUGGGGAUGUCAUGAUUUCUAUGAGACCCAAAUCUACUGAACGGCUCCAGGUAGCCGUGGUCAUUCUGAUUGGGCAGAAAGCAGAGGCAUUUCUGGCCUCCUCUCAUGACAGUGGCCUUUUCCUCUAUCAUACUGACCACAGCUCUGAUCUAUGCAUUUGUUCCCUCUCAAAACACAAAGACAACGCUGCCAGGAAACCAAACCAAUCCAGCUAAGCUACAGCAAGGAGAAAGUCUGGGAAAAUCCGCAGAAUUCCCCCACCUCCCAGAGACCAGGCUGGCCUCGAACUCAGAGAUCCACCUGCCUCUGCCACCACACCCAGAUUCCACCAAAUUUCUCAAAACUCAGCAGCAGAAAUGUCCGGAAGCACCCCACUGGUGAUGGUCCAAGAGGGACAAGUCUGGUUCAGCUGAAAGCAGGGAAACUGCCAGUUGAAUCCAAAGGGCAAUCCAGAUGGCACCUCCAUGUUCAGGCCCAUCAGCCGGGGCAGAAGCCAGGAGUCACUGCCUUUGGGGCCUUCAAGGUUGUGCCACCCUAUCCCUCAGAUAGUUCCUGGAGUGAGCUGCUCUGGACACUUAGAAACAUGCAUCUGUUUUAGGAAACAGAAAGGCUCUCCUAUCCUGGGGCCUGGGGCCUGACCUCGGGUUACCAGGCUGAAGCACAGGUGCCCUCACUCCGAGUCAUCUUCCUAACAGUGUAACUUGAAGACACCUGGCCACGAGCUGCCAGGCAGCCCCACUCCUCGCAUCAUCAGCUGCUCCUCCCUUCCUGCUUCCCUGCUGCCUACAACAAGAGCUGCAUCCAAGCUUACAGCCCAUCAAGGUCCUGGGGUUGGGGGAGCGAGUUUAAGACCAAACCCAGUGGCUGGUACUUCUGGGAUAGAGACAGGGAGCAGGGGAGUAGACCUCUUGGGAAGGAAUCCAAUCAGGAUCCAGGUACUUAAAUUUAGCAGACCCCAAGGAAAAGCUGGACAAAGUCACACAGAGACAGCUAAGGAUAGUGGGAAACACCACUUUGCAUCCCCACUAUCAGAGUCAGGCCCCCAAAAUGCUCCAACAACUGCAGUCACAGGAUGGCCCUGCCUGGGAAUGACUUUUAAGUGACCACCCUCAAGUGAAGAGCACUCUGUGUAAUUGGAGGUUGGGAAACAAUCAUGCCAGCACCUCACCUGAACUUGACAAUUUGGGGGGCGGGGCAGGAUUUGAGAAAGAGUUUCUCUGUGUAGUCCUGGCU